UACGUAGGGUGCAAGCGUUGUCCGGAAUUAUUGGGCGUAAAGAGUUCGUAGGCGGUGUGUCGCGUCGGCCGUGAAAACCUGGGGCUUAACUCUGGGCUUGCGGUCGAUACGGGCAUCACUGGAGUUCGGCAGGGGAGACUGGAAUUCCUGGUGUAGCGGUGAAAUGCGCAGAUAUCAGGAGGAACACCGGUGGCGAAGGCGGGUCUCUGGGCCGAUACUGACGCUGAGGAGCGAAAGCGUGGGGAGCGAACAGG
rnacentral:rRNA from 1 species